UUUUUUUUAGGAAGAUUAGCCCUGAGCUAACUGCUGCCAAUCCCCCUCUUUUUGCUGAGGAAGACUGGCCCUGAGCUAACAGCCGUGCCCAUCUGCCUCUACUUUAUAUGUGGGACUCCUACCACAGCAUGGCGUGCCAAGCGGUGCCAUGUUGGCACCCAGGAUCCGAACCGGCGAACCCUGGGCCACUGAAGCAGAAUGUGCGCACUCAACUGCUGCGCCACCGGGCCGGCCCUGGGAGCAUUCUUUAUGACUCGGCCACGAGACCAAACUGUGUGAACAAAUGGUGCUGAUGGUCCAGGGGCCGGGACGGAAUCCCCCCAGACAGCCUGGCCAAAGGGUGCAGUCUCCUACUUCCCAGGACUGCUUGAGGGAGACAGGACAAGCAUCCCCGUUAUACAGAAGAAGAAACUGAAGUCAAGGGAAGUCAGAGAAGCAGGGAGAGAAAGAAGUCGAUGCCAACAGGAGGCGGAGAGGACAGGCUGAGCGAGUGUCCCUCGAAGGACCAUGUGCCUGCCCUUCGUGCGUGGCUUCGUGACUCAGUUCUUCCUCUGAUUGUAGGAGAGUUCCUGAAUCCUUGAAUAAAC
rnacentral:lncRNA from 1 species